AGAUUGAACGCUGGCGGCAUGCUUUACACAUGCAAGUCGAACGGCAGCACGGGGGCAACCCUGGUGGCGAGUGGCGAACGGGUGAGUAAUGCAUCGGAACGUAUCUUUAAGUGGGGGAUAACGCAUCGAAAGAUGCGCUAAUACCGCAUAAUCUCUGAGGAGAAAAGCAGGGGAUCGCAAGACCUUGCGCUUUUUGGAGCGGCCGAUGUCUGAUUAGCUAGUUGGUGGGUAAAGGCUUAUCAAGGCUUCGAUCAGUAGCUGGUCUGAGAGGACGACCAGCCACACUGGGACUGAGACACGGCCCAGACUCUUACGGGAGGCAGCAGUGGGGAAUUUUGGACAAUGGGGGAAACCCUGAUCCAGCUAUGCCGCGUGAGUGAAGAAGGCCUCGGUUGUAAAGCUCUUCUAGACCGGAACGAAACGGUUAACGGUUAAAGUUAACCGUACGUACUACUAGACGGUAACCGGAAAGAAAGAAGACACCGGCUAACCUACGUAGCCAGACAGCCG
rnacentral:rRNA from 1 species